rnacentral:rRNA from 1 species
AUUGAACGCUGGCGGCAGGCUUAACACAUGCAAGUCGAACGGUAGCAGGAGAAAGCUUGCUUUCUUGCUGACGAGUGGCGGACGGGUGAGUAAUGCUUGGGAAUCUGGCUUAUGGAGGGGGAUAACGACGGGAAACUGUUGCUAAUACCACGUAUUAUCGGAAGAUGAAAGUGCGGGACUGAGAGGCCGCAUGCCAUAGGAUGAGUCCAAGUGGGAUUAGGUAGUUGGUGGGGUAAAGGCCUACCAAGCCUGCGAUCUCUAGCUGGUCUGAGAGGAUGACCAGCCACACUGGAACUGAGACACGGUCCAGACUCCUACGGGAGGCAGCAGUGGGGAAUAUUGCGCAAUGGGGGGAACCCUGACGCACCCAUGCCGCGUGAAUGAAGAAGGCCUUAGGGUUGUAAAGUUCUUUCGGUAUUGAGGAAGGUUGAUGUGUUAAUAGCACAUCAUAUUGACGUUAAAUACAGAAGAAGCACCGGCUAACUCCGUGCCAGCAGCCGCGGUAAUACGGAGGGUGCGAGCGUUAAUCAAAAUAACUGGGCGUAAGGGGCACGCGCGCGGAUAUUUAAGUGAUGUGUGAAAGCCCCGGGCUUCACCUGGGAAUUGCAUUUCAGACUGGGUAACUAGAGUACUUUAGGGGAGGGGUAGAAUUCCACGUGUAGCGGUGAUAUGCAUAGAUAUGUGGAGGAAUACCGAAGGCGAGGGCAGCCUCUUGGGAAUGCACUGACGCACAUGUGCGAAAGCGUGGGGAGCAAACAGGAAUAGAUACUCUUUUAGUCAGGGGCGAAUUCCAUUUUGGUCUGCGGCCCGGGGGAUCCUAUAGUUCUAGAGGGGCCGCACCGCGGGAGCUCCAAUUCCCCAUACAGUGAGUCGAUUACGCGCUCUCCCGGCCCUUUUUACAAC